rnacentral:rRNA from 1 species
UACGUAGGUGGCAAGCGUUGUCCGGAUUUACUGGGCGUAAAGAGCGCGCAGGCGGUCGUUCAAGUCGGGUGUGAAAGCCCCCGGCUCAACUGGGGAGGGUCACGCGAUACUGAUCGACUCGAAGGCAGGAGAGGGUAGUGGAAUUCCCGGUGUAGUGGUGAAAUGCGUAGAUAUCGGGAGGAACACCAGUGGCGAAGGCGACUACCUGGCCUGUUCUUGGCGCUGAGGCGCGAAAGCUAGGGGAGCAAACGGG